rnacentral:piRNA from 1 species
UAACAUGGCUAUGUCUUUGCGGUGUCCC